rnacentral:rRNA from 1 species
AUUGAACGCUGGCGGCAUGCCUUACACAUGCAAGUCGAACGGCAGCACGGGAGCAAUCCUGGUGGCGAGUGGCGAACGGGUGAGUAAUAUAUCGGAACGUGCCCAGUCGUGGGGAUAACGUAGCGAAAGCUACGCUAAUACCGCAUACGAUCUAUGGAUGAAAGCGGGGGAUCGCAAGACCUCGCGCGAUUGGAGCGGCCGAUAUCAGAUUAGGUAGUUGGUGAGGUAAAGGCUCACCAAGCCGACGAUCUGUAGCUGGUCUGAGAGGACGACCAGCCACACUGGGACUGAGACACGGCCCAGACUCCUACGGGAGGCAGCAGUGGGGAAUUUUGGACAAUGGGCGCAAGCCUGAUCCAGCAAUGCCGCGUGCAGGAUGAAGGCCUCGGUUGUAACUAGUACGUUUGUUACGGUAACGG